AUUCCAUCGUUCUGGAGCAGUAGCCAAUUUCAUGCCACCGUAGCAAACUAUAGCAUUUGCCCCAUUCCGAUUGGUUUGCUACGUUUGACCGUAGCAAACCAAUCAGAAUGCCGUAUAUGCCAAUUUUCGCUACGGUCAGAUUCGACCUUAAUGAAUCUGGCCGUAGCGAAAAUUGAUCAUAUAUGGGCAACACGCUACGGUGUAUUUCUGAAGGAUGAUAUUUUCUAAGCUAUAGUCCAUUGCGUAAUGACCCGCAAACGGGCAAUUACAACCGUCUUUUCGGGCGGGA
rnacentral:lncRNA from 1 species